GCCAUAGGUGGCUCAGUUGGUAGGGCAUGAGACUCUUAAUCUCCAGGUCGUGGGUUUGAGCCCCACCUUGGGCA